rnacentral:rRNA from 1 species
CUCCGGUGAUCCUGCCGGACCCGACUGCUAUCAGAGUGGGACUAAGCCAUGCGAGUCAACAUAGCAAUAUGUGGCAUACGGCUCAGUAACACGUAGUCAACAUGCCCAGGGGACGUGGAUAACCUCGGGAAACUGAGGAUAAACCGCGAUAAGUCACUACUUCUGGAAUGGGUAAUGACUCAAAUCUACAUGGCCCCUGGAUUGGACUGCGGCCGAUCAGGCUGUUGGUGAGGUAAUGGCCCACCAAACCUGUAACCGGUACGGGCUCUGAGAGGAGGAGCCCGGAGAUGGGCACUGAGACAAGGGCCCAGGCCCUAUGGGGCGCAGCAGGCGCGAAACCUCUGCAAUAGGCGAAAGCCUGACAGGGUUACUCUGAGUGAUUUCCGUUAAGGAGAUCUUUUGGCACCUCUAAAAAUGGUGCAGAAUAAGGGGUGGGCAAGUCUGGUGUCAGCCGCCGCGGUAAUACCAGCACCCCGAGUGGUCGGGACGUUUAUUGGGCCUAAAGCAUCCGUAGCCGGUUCUACAAGUCUUCCGUUAAAUCCACCUGCUUAACAGAUGGGCUGCGGAAGAUACUAUAGAGCUAGGAGGCGGGAGAGGCAAGCGGUACUCGAUGGGUAGGGGUAAAAUCCGUUGAUCCAUUGAAGACCACCAGUGGCGAAGGCGGCUUGCCAGAACGCGCUCGACGGUGAGGGAUGAAAGCUGGGGGAGCAAACCGGAUUAGAUACCCGGGUAGUCCCAGCUGUAAACGAUGCAGACUCGGUGAUGAGUUGGCUUCUUGCCAACUCAGUGCCGCAGGGAAGCCGUUAAGUUUGCCGCCUGGGGAGUACGGUCGCAAGACUGAAACUUAAAGGAAUUGGCGGGGGAGCA